CGGGAAACCAAAAUGGCGAAGGGCUGUAGCGAAGUGGUCUGUGUUUGAGGCCGGUGUGAGAACGCAUAUUCUCCUCCCCAAUCCUCGUCCCCAAGGAAUUCAGUGCGUGUGUGUGCGUGAGCGCAGGGUUCCCGCUGGGGCGGGUGCCCAGUGAGUGCCCGGACUCGCGGGGAAGCGCCCACGGGAACGUGAUUGCUUCUAUUUUCCUGUAUGAAGCGGUUGGCACCACUUAAGUGACCGAAUGAGCUGCCGAGUGGUUCAUCAUGGACUAGAGUAGUGGCAAGGGUACUGGAGACGUGAUUGUGGUGGAGGUGUCAUGGCCGAUGGCUGUUACCAGAGAAGAGGAGGGAAAUUGGAGCGGCACAAUAGAGGGAUGAAAGUUCCUACUAGGGAGAGACUCUACAGGAGCAGGUAAUUCACUGGUCCACAAGCGGUCUCCUUCACGUCGAAACCAAAAGACCUCAGCAUCCUUGAACAAGCUGUCUUUACAGGAUGGACAUAAAGCCAAAAAACCAGCAUGUAAAUUUGAAGAGGGUCAAGAUGUCUUAGCUAGAUGGUCAGAUGGCUUGUUUUAUCUUGGAACUAUCAAAAAGAUAAACAUUUUGAAACAGAGCUGCUUCAUCACAUUUGAGGACAGUUCUAAGUCCUGGGUUCUCUGGAAGGACAUCCAAACAGGAGCCACUGGGAGUGGGGAAAUGGUCUGUACAAUAUGUCAAGAAGAGUAUUCAGAAGCACCUAAUGAAAUGGUUAUCUGUGAUAAGUGCGGUCAAGGAUAUCAUCAGCUGUGUCAUACGCCUCAUAUUGACUCGAGUGUGAUCGAUUCAGAUGAAAAGUGGCUUUGUCGACAGUGCGUUUUUGCAACA
rnacentral:lncRNA from 1 species